GCAGGAGUGAGGGCAGGAGCGAGCAAGGCAGUAAGGUACAGCGAAAGAAAAUAUUUUUCAAAUGCCCUUCCCUGGGUGGAAGGAAUAUCACACCUGGGGCACUGGGAAGGAGGAUAUGGAACAACUGUCCAGGAACAGAGGACAGAGGGGCUGGCACGGGGCUCUGAGCAGGUCAUGGAAGGAGCUGGCCUGAUGAGCACAUACCCAUGCCCCUCACGCAACAGGACUGUCCCUGUUCUGUCCAAUGCCUUCCAGGGGCAGCAUUCCCAGGCCAAUUCAGCAAAGCUAAAGAGAAAUACACAUGGUUGGGUUCAAUGUAAGCCAGAGGCGGAAAUAGCAACCACAGGAGGUGGUGAAGUUGAGGAAGAAAAUCAAGUGCUGUUGUUGGGCUGCUCUAUGAGGGCUCCAAGCAUGGGAUGGAGACCCGGACUACGUGUCCCCUGGGAUUUUAUAUUCUAAUAAUUUUCCCUUGCCACUCCUCUGGACCCUAUUCCAGAGUAGAGAAGGUCAGAAAAACUCUGACCAAUAACCAGGAUAAAUAAAUACGGAAAAUAGGAGUAGCCCGAAGGCUGGGAACAAGAAGGUGGGUAGACAGGCGCCCCUCAGGGAGGUGGAGGGGUUUUGUGAGAAGGGGUGGGACAGGGCGGAGACUCGGACCCCAGGAGCCGACGGCACCCCUAGGGGUGGAGGCAGACCCCGGGCUCUCUGAGGCUACCGGUGCCAGUCAUCCCGCCAAGGAGGGCGGCCUAAAUCCUCAAGGGACUCGCAGGCGCCUGAGAUUCCACUCCCAGCCCCUGAAAACACCACGGACUUCAGUUUCGGGGUUCUCAAAGGACUGCUCAAAUCCCGCAGAAAACGCAAAGCAUCAGAAACCCCCCGCACCACCCUCCCAAGUUCCUCAAGUCCGAGCGCCGGAACCAAAGGUUCCAGAAACGGGCGGGGCGACGGACGUGGGCCUGCGGGAAUCAGGGCCGAACGGAGCCGCGAGAGCGUCCGGAGCUCAGAAAUCUCGCCCGCGACGACCCCGGGAGGGCGGCGAGUUCAACCAGAGUUUGAGGCACAAAGGGAGAGAUAAUAAUUCAGGGCACCUCAAGAUUUUCCCUUCAACCUCCGACCGAAUGGAGCCUUCGGUACCUCUGUGCCUAUUGGCCAUGCUGCAGGAAAGCUCAGUUAUGAAAUCUUCCACUCUGAGAUCUUGGCAGAUCAAAAACUAUACGGAGCAUUUGGUGAGGUCUAGUACUAAUAAAGAGAAGAAGAUCGGAGCAGCUUUGACAUGAAUGGAUCCAUCUGGCCUGGUCUCCAUACAAGUUUCCUAUGAGUUUGGUCACAGACCCUUCAAGCAAUUGUUUAAAUGAGAAGAUGCUACAUUUUCAAGCAGAGACUGAUUCACUGUAGCUUAAUAAAUUUUUACUGAGCCCAUACUGUGUAUAUUUUGUCCUGAGCUUCAGAAACCAGGAAAUCCCAUUGGGUAAGGGGAGCCUGGUGCAGGGAUCAGCAGCCUGAAUGAAUUCUGCUAAACAACUUUCAUCUGGCUUUAGCUAUUUCUGUUGAGCUGUCAACACAGAUGUUGGGUUUUGCUCU
rnacentral:lncRNA from 1 species